GACGCGAGCCUGCAGGACGCUUCCCCGGGUCUCCUGAAGCUGCCACUACCGGCCGCAGGCUGUCAUCGCCCCUGGCCCGCUCCGUCAAGCGGGCAACUUCCCGGGUGCGAGGCUGGACAGCACCGCCGGCCUGGAGCAACCUGCGCAGAUUAGUGACCUGUCCAGCUUUGCCAGGGACGGCGGUAGUCCUGUUCUGCUGACCAGAUGCCUUCUGGUGUGAAUGGAGACGGCUCCCAACCUUUCAGAGCAAGGGUUUCUAGCCAGCGCUUGCAGCUUAGAACGCCCAACUCAAAACCGUAAACCUGCUGGGUGGGGAUGUAGCUCAAUUGACAGAUUGCUGGACGAGCCGAGACCGAGUUUAUUUACAAGUACCACACGAAACAGAUCGGUGGAACGCAGACUAGCUGGACGAAGCGGGAGCAGGAAUUCAAAGUUAUCUCGUACCUCCGCAAUUCCUAGCCAGUAUAGACCCUGAGACCCUGUGUUGGUUAGUUUUGUCAAUUUGAAAGGAUAUCAAAACACCUGAGAAUACAGUCUCAACGAGAAUUAUAUGGAUUGAGUUGACCCAUGGUUAACGUUUUCAUGAUUGGGUUAAGUGAGGUGGAAGGCCCUCUCCCAAUGUGGGAGGUACCAUGUCAUGGAUUAGGUUCUGCCCUGUUCCUAGUGUUGGGAGGCGAUAGAGAGCAAGCGUCAAGCAUCCAUUUGUCUUAGUUCCUGCUGCUGAGACUCCUCCAUAGUAAUGGACUAUCACCUAGAGUUGAAGCUAAAAUAGUCUUGCUUCAUUUAGUUGUUCUGUCAGGGUGUUUUACUAAAGCAACAGACAUGAAACUACCUGUCAAUACCAUUAUUGAAAUAAAAGAGUAACAU
ensembl:processed_transcript 1700047K16Rik RIKEN cDNA 1700047K16 gene